UACGGAGGGGGCUAGCGUUGUUCGGAAUUAUUGGGCGUAAAGAGCUCGUAGGCGGUCUGUCACGUCGGCUGUGAAAACACGGGGCUCAACUCCGUGCCUGCAGUCGAUACGGGCAGACUAGAGUUCGGUAGGGGAGACUGGAAUUCCUGGUGUAGCGGUGAAAUGCGCAGAUAUCAGGAGGAACACCGGUGGCGAAGGCGGGUCUCUGGGCCGAAACUGACGCUGAGGAGCGAAAGCGUGGGGAGCGAACAGG
rnacentral:rRNA from 1 species